AAGCUCCAAAUUACACGAUAUCCCUCUAAAUUGUGUUUCACCCUAAAAUCUCUCAAACUUUCAGCCUAAAAUCCCUAAGAGACUGCCGAUAGAACUCCUUCAAAAUUAAGAAUCUCAGACGCUAAACUCCUUCAAAAUUCAGCAUCUCAGCCGCUACAAAGAUUGAGCAAGGCGGCGAACUCUGUUUAGUUUGAUCGAGCGAGGCGGCGAACUCUGUUCAGUUUCUUCUUUGGAGGCCGCUAAUCCUCCAAAGGACUUUACACAAAUUAUACUAUUGGAUUAUCCGCUAAACAAGAGAUAAAUUUGAGAGUGAUGACAUGGAUAUCCAUCGCGAUCAUAUUAUGGGAUGGAUGAAAGAGUUAUGGAACAAAUGGAGAGCACAAUUGCAUGCAACAUAUGUGAAGGGUAAGCCAAUCCAAGAGGCUCUUAAGAAUGUGCCCAAGGGGGUAGACAAAAAAUAAUGGGAGUGGUUGGUAAAGGAAUAUUUUUCUACAGAAAGUUUUUAGGCGAGAAGUAACAGGAAUGCAGCAAAUAGAACUAAGUUGAAGAUGCUUCAUCAUAUUGGUAGCAAGCCAAUCAGAGAGAUUAUUUAUCAAAAGGGCGGAAAAGAUGGAAAACCACCAGAUUUGGCAACUAUUUUCUUCGAGACUCGCAAGAAAAAUCACACACUUAUUGAACCAGAAACAAUCGAGAAACAUGCUCAAAUCAAGGAAUUGGUGCAGUCUGAACCGUCACUUCCUAACAUAGAGAUUGUAGAAAAAUGCUUUGGACCUCAAAGUUGUAGUCAUGUAAUUGGCUUUGGGGGUGGAUUAAAGGCGAAAGAUUUGAAAGGGGGAACUACAUCAAAAACUGAAUUAUUGGCUAAGCUACGUUUAACUGAAAAUGAAAACCAGUCUUUGAAGGAUCGUCUGUCUAACUUCGAAAAUGAGAUGAGAGAAUUGAGGAAAAUAAAAGAAUUAGUAUUAGCGCAACAAACUAAUUUCCAGCCUCCAGCUGAGGAGAAUGACUAUUUGGAUCCUUGAUGAUACCAGGUUUUGGAUAUUGAAGUUUACGAGAAAGCCGAUUUUUGACAACAUAGAGAUCAACCACAAUUUUGCUUGGAAUUUCAAGAAAAUUUUACAUUACAAUCGAGGGAUAUUAUUAUAUGUAGUUUUUUGCUAAAUGUUUAUGAACACAAUAUUGUAACUGGCUUAAAUCAUUGAUGUACGAUUCAACUAA